AUUGAACGCUGGCGGCAGGCCUAACACAUGCAAGUCGAGCGGAUGAAGGGAGCUUGCUCCUGGAUUCAGCGGCGGACGGGUGAGUAAUGCCUAGGAAUCUGCCUGGUAGUGGGGGAUAACGUCCGGAAACGGGCGCUAAUACCGCAUACGUCCUGAGGGAGAAAGUGGGGGAUCUUCGGACCUCACGCUAUCAGAUGAGCCUAGGUCGGAUUAGCUAGUUGGUGGGGUAAAGGCUUACCAAGGCGACGAUCCGUAACUGGUCUGAGAGGAUGAUCAGUCACACUGGAACUGAGACACGGUCCAGACUCCUACGGGAGGCAGCAGUGGGGAAUAUUGGACAAUGGGCGAAAGCCUGAUCCAGCCAUGCCGCGUGUGUGAAGAAGGUCUUCGGAUUGUAAAGCACUUUAAGUUGGGAGGAAGGGCAGUAAGUUAAUACCCUGCUGUUUUGACGUUACCAACAGAAUAAGCACCGGCUAACUUCGUG
rnacentral:rRNA from 1 species